UACGGGGGGCAAGCGUUGUUCGGAAUUACUGGGCGUAAAGGGCUCGUAGGCGGCCAACUAAGUCCGGACGUGAAAUCCCCAGGACCUCAACCUGGGAACUGCGUCCGAUACUGGAUGGCUUGAAUUCGGGAGAGGGAUGCAGAAUUCCAGGUGUAGCGGUGAAAUGCGCAGAUAUCAGGAAGAACACCAAUGGCGAAGGCAGCUCUCGUGGGACGGUACUGACGCUGAGACGCGAAAGCGUGGGAGCGAACAGG
rnacentral:rRNA from 1 species